UGGUGAAACUCCCUCCCUCCCAAGCUGAUGGUGAAACUCCCUCCCAAGGUGAAGGUGAGUCUCCCUCCCAAGCUGAAGGUGAGUCUCCCUCCCAAGCUGAAGGUGAGUCUCCCUCCCAAGCUGAAGGUGAGUCUCCCUCCCUCCCAAGCUGAAGGUGAGUCUCCCUCCCAAGCUGAAGGUGAGUCUCCCUCCCAAGCUGAAGGUGAGUCUCCCUCCCAAGGUGAAGGUGAGUCUCCCUCCCAAGCUGAAGGUGAGUCUCCCUCCCUCCCAAGCUGAAGGUGAGUCUCCCUCCCUCCCAAGCUGAAAGUGAAACUCCCUCCCAAGCUGAAGGUGAAACUCCCUCCCAAGCUGAAGGUGAAACUCCCUACCAAGUUGAAGUUGAAGGUGAAACUCCCUCCCUCCCAAGCUGAAGGUGAAACUCCCUCCCUCCCAAGCUGAAGGUGAAACUCCCUCCCUCCCAAGCUGAAGGUGAAACUCCCUCCCUCCCAAGCUGAAGGUGAAACUCCCUCCCUCCCAAGCUGAAGGUGAAACUCCCUCCCUCCCAAGCUGAAGGUGAAACUCCCUCCCUCCCAAGCUGAAGGUGAAACUCCCUCCCUCCCAAGCUGAAGGUGAAACUCCCUCCCAAGCUGAUGGUGAAACUCCCUCCCUCCCAAGGUGAAGGUGAAACUCCCUCCCAAGGUGAAGAUGAAACUCCCUCCCAAGGUGAAGAUGAAACUCACUCCCUCCCAAGCUGAAGGUGAAACUCACUCCCUCCCAAGCUGAAGGUGAAACUCCCUCCCAAGCUGAAGGUGAAACUCCCUCCCAA